rnacentral:ncRNA from 2 species
GGCCACAGGCUAUCUCACCUGGAAUUACGUUCUGAAUGAAGCUAUCAGGUUGUCUCUAAUCAUGCAGCUUGUUGCCUUGCUGUUGGUAGUGCUGUGGAUAAGGUGGAAGUGUCGGAGACUCAGAAUCAGAGGGGUCAGCACUCAAGCCAGCGGGUGGAGAAAUGCAUAGUUCUCAGAGGCAAGAGGAGUAAUCAGAACUGCAUUCACUGACAUCC